rnacentral:tRNA from 1 species
CGUGGCCUAGCCAACCGGUAAAGCAGCGGUUCUUGGGGCCGCCAUCCCCUGGUUCGAAUCCAGGCGCCCCAGCCA